rnacentral:rRNA from 1 species
CCUACGGGAGGCAGCAGUGGGGAAUAUUGGACAAUGGGCGAAAGCCUGAUCCAGCCAUGCCGCGUGUGUGAAGAAGGCCUUCGGGUUGUAAAGCACUUUCAGUGGGGAAGAAAGCCUUGGGGCUAAUACCCUCGAGGAAGGACAUCACCCACAGAAGAAGCACCGGCUAACUCCGUGCCAGCAGCCGCGGUAAUACGGAGGGUGCGAGCGUUAAUCGGAAUUACUGGGCGUAAAGCGCGCGUAGGCGGUCUGAUAAGCCGGUUGUGAAAGCCCCGGGCUCAACCUGGGAACGGCAUCCGGAACUGUCAGGCUAGAGUGCAGGAGAGGAAGGUAGAAUUCCCGGUGGAGCGGUGAAAUGCGUAGAGAUCGGGAGGAAUACCAGUGGCGAAGGCGGCCUUCUGGACUGACACUGACGCUGAGGUGCGAAAGCGUGGGUAGCAAACAGGAUUAGAUACCCUAGUAGUC